rnacentral:rRNA from 1 species
CCCGACACAAGCAGUGGAGUAUGUGGUUUAAUUCGAAGCAACGCGAAGAACCUUACCAGGGCUUGACAUCCCUUGAAGCAGCUAGAGAUAGCUGUGUCCUUCGGGACAAGGAGACAGGUGGUGCAUGGUUGUCGUCAGCUCGUGUCGUGAGAUGUUGGGUUAAGUCCCGCAACGAGCGCAACCCCUACGUUUAGUUGCUAACGCGUGAAGGCGAGCACUCUAGACGAACUGCCGUUGACAAAACGGAGGAAGGUGGGAUGACGUCAAAUCAUCAUGCCCCUUAUGUUCUGGGCUACACACGUGCUACAAUGGCCGGUACAGACGGACGCAAAGCCGCGAGGUGGAGCAAAUCCUAAAAAGCCGGUCUCAGUUCGGAUUGCAGGCUGCAAUUCGCCUGCAUGAAGUCGGAAUCGCUAGUAAUCGCAGGUCAGCAUACUGCGGUGAAUACGUUCCCGGGCCUU